CUGUGAUCUCAUUCCUACCAGUGCCGGAGACGGGAGUCCCAGGGGCUUCACUGCAAAUUAGAUCCCCUGGAAAGAGACAGCCAGAACGGAUCCGACCUCUCUGCCGUUCCUGGGAGCGAACUCCUAUUCUUCCCUGCCCUCCCUGCCUUGCCUCUGACAACUUCUCCAGUGAAGAAGAUAUGGAAAAUAGACCAUACAUGGAAAUCUGUGAAUCCUAUGCUGGCAUCUGCAUAAAGGAUCAUUCUGUGGGAGGGCCUGUGACAUCAUUUCCAUGAUC
rnacentral:lncRNA from 1 species